rnacentral:rRNA from 1 species
GCAUACUCAACCUUCUCUAGACAUUGCAGCAUGUGUACUGCCGUUGUAAGCAUACCUUUAAAAGAAUAAGUGUGCCACUAAUGACUAAAUAAGCUCAUAUACAUCAGGUCAAAGUGCAGCCAAUGAAAAGGUGAUGAUGGGUUACAACCUAAAAACAGAAUAUCAAAUAAGAAAUUAAAAAUCUUACGAAAGUGGACUUGGCCGUAAUCAAUUUACAAGUUAAAAAAAUGAAUAACAAUACCUAAGACAUGCACACAUCGCCCGUCACUCUAUCCUAAAGGUUAGAUAAGUCGUAACAAAGUAGGUGUAAUGGAAAUUGUACCUGUCGAAGUAUAGCAUAUAUAAUGCUUUUUACUUACACUAAAAACAAAGUUAAACAACUUACUUCGCCCACUUAACAAAACCCUAUAAACUAGCAAAUAAUAGAAACAACUUAACAAAUAUAAUAAAUAAUAAAGUACAGAAAUGGAAAUAAUAAUAAAUAAAAGUAACUAUUAAUAAUUGUACCUUGUGCAUUAUGGUUUUACAAGACAAUGAUUAAAAACACCAAUCCCGAAUUCUAAAUGAGAUGUUAAACUGCUGUUAUGAACCAAUUAAUAGCUGUAGAAAAAGCUUUAAAAGACAGUUUAACAGAGGCUACAUACCAUCCGCAUAAGAAUAUAGCUGGUUUUCAACGAACAUUAUAUAUUAAAGCAUAUAAUUACUUUAUACUGUAAUAUUAUUGAGGAUAAGCCCAAUAAUCUAAGCAAUAUUUAAAAUAAGCCCAUUUUAUGUCAUAGGCCUAUAAUCAGCCAAUUAAAAUACUUUACCGUAACAUAUACUGAUAAAAUAUAUAAUAUAGUAUGCUAAAUAAAGUUGAAAUAAUGAAAAAAUUUUAUUUUUUCACUUCUAAUAUGUAAAAAUAAGUAUUACAAAAAAAACACCAAUAAUAAUCUAGAAAUAUCAAUAAAUAAAAACCUAUAAUUAAUUAAGGAACUAGGCAAACCACUAUUUCGACUGUUUAACAAAAACAUUGUCUCAUGUAAAAAAUAUGAGAUAAUA